UCUGGAGUUUGGCCGGCUGCAGGGAAACUGUGGGCUGCAGAAGAUCAGGAUCAAAGCUGCUGGAAAAACCAUCGAGACAGAGAAGAGGAGCGAGGGGGCGGCGAUCACAUUAAUACUGCUCUUUACUGCUGUGAACUGUUCAAAUUAAGAGCUCAGGUUUCAUGGCAGCAGCUCACUGAGAGGCUCCUCUUCAACCCCAGAAGAUUCAACGUUCCAUCAGUCCCACUUUAACCCUGGUGUCGUCCUGCAGGUUUCCCAGAGACUAUGGGUUGAGGAGGAAGUGGAAGUUUGUCGGCUUAGACCUGGUGUCAUUCCAUCAGUGUUAAACUUCCCGGCUCAUCUUGGAAGAGUACGUGCCAGAAAGACCACAACCAAGCAGCCUUGAGAUCUUAGGCAGCGUCUCCCUGAGGUCCCUCUCUAUCUCCCCACACAUCCACCAACCACUGGAACACAUCUCCAAAGUUCUGCUGGACCAGCUCAGCUUCCCCUCAGAAGAAGUGCCGCCACCUGCCAGAUGAAGGAGCCUUUUGAGAGGCAGCUGGCAUCGUGAUUGGACUGUACUUUGGUCUGUUCCAAUCCAGCUUCAGCUCCAGAGACGGCAGGCGGGACGAGUCAACGGAGGCCUGGUGGACGAAGGCAUGCAGCUGAGUACAAUCCAGAAAACAACAGAGGAGGAAUGCAGCAGCCCAGAGCCAGAACAACCAGAGUAGCAUGACCAAAGAACUACAGACUCUUCACAACCUGCUCAAACUCUUGGUACAGGACCUCACCACACGGGUCAAGAAGGUUUCCAUCUCAUUUCUACUCUGAAGCUCACCUUCUCCUGCUCAAACUGCUGACAAAUGUUUCUGCUGCUCUAAAGUCUGGUCUCCAGAACUUCCUAAAAACUCUCAAAGUCUCUUCUGCUGCAGGUUGCUUUGUAGAACUGUUCCAGAAAACCUCACUAAACCACAUGGAGGGGCCUCAAGAUAGUCGUCCAAAUGAAACCAUACAAAAACCAAACUAGCACAACCCAAACGCUAAAGUCUCCUGCAGCCUACCAGAGAACCUCUGAGAACAGAGAAUCAGGACAGGAACUCUUACCUUCUGGACAACCAACGUUGGUUCUCAAACAAGAAUACAGAAUGUGUCUGACCAAAAACCUCUGAAGACUCACUACAGCCAAGAUAAAGACACAACUCAGCUGCACCAAAUCCACUAAUCACCGCACACAUUAGCACCAUGUGCUAACUGUGGCUAAACAACCACAUUUACCAAGACAACUAUCCAGUACAAAGCCCUAAAACACACCAAGAAACACAUUAAAGACGAUUUUACUGCUGGAAGCUGCAAGCCAACGCCUAAAGAACAAACUAAAGCAAUGGAGCCAAACCAGGUCCAGUGGUGAAGAGAAGCAGAGGAAAUGUUUGUCUGCAGCUAAAUAAAGCAGGAAGACACUGAGCUGCUCAGGUGUUCCUGAUAACACCAAGCAGCCACCUGGACAGCCAAUAGGAACACAGCUUCCUGGAAGUCCAGAGGGCGGGGUUAGUCAAGGAAAUUUAGUUUAAAGUUGAAGCAGAAAGUUAACAAAGAAAGUUGAAAACCACCUUCUGAUCCCUGAAAUCUCUGAGUUUUCACACAAAGAACACCUGAACAUGUCAAACUGGUUCCAUAGUAGAACCAUCAUUGUAAAAACGUCAUAGUAUGGUGUGUUGCUCAAAAAACAUUAGGACCCGGCUGUCAGGGGACAAACAUGUAAGAAACAUGAGAACAGAGAGAACCCAACCAGUAGGUCACAGUUUAUCAUCAUCUAAUCAUCUCCUGAAGUCCAUAUGGUGAGAGACAUCAGUAUCUGGUUGUUCAUUUACUAGAGGAUGCUUAUAAUCAUGCUGAUGUGGUCUGUACUCUACAGUAUUUUAGUGACUCAAUAAAUGCCUAAGUUGUUUUUUUUUUAAAUGUUUUUUAGUUUUUAAUAAACAUUUAACAGCCUGUAUGUAAUCAAUAAAUGGCCUUUGCCUAUCUUAAGAAAAAUUCACUCAGAACUCUAAUAUGUUAACAGUACUAAAUAAAUCAAUAAAUACAUGCAUACACACAAAAAUAAGUUAAUACAUUAACUGUGUUAAGAUAAGAUUUAGAUAUAAAAAAAGUUGUUUAUGUUUUUGCAGAAUCCAGUAUUGCUCACUGGUUAGUCAUUACAUUUUAUUAGUUUGAUUUCACUGUUUAAAAUGAUGCCACCUCUUUUCAGGCAGAACCUGUGAUAAUAAAACAAUACAAAAUUUUUAGUUCCGUGUUAAUAAAGCACUUAAAGCUUUAAGUAUGGCUAAAUGCUUUUUUCAAAAUUAAAUAUAUCACUCCUUAGGUGGUAGUGGCCCCAAGUUCAGUAAAGUUGGAAAGAUAUUCACAGAUUGGGACUUCCAGCAUCAAUAACUCAUUAGAUAUAGGUUGUCAAAACAUAAACGGUGCCUCUUUCCCAUUGUUGCAAGGCAGACAAUGUGCUACAAGCCCAGUUUUAUCAAAAGUAGCUGUCUUUCAAGCUACAGGAAUAACAUUGGUGUCUAUGGAGUGAACAGGGUCCGUCUGCAAUUUGCAAAACCUCUGCAACAGUAAAGAGAGACAAAUAUUCAAUAACUUCACUCUUAUACAUUGUAGUGUCACUAAAAUCACUGCAGCCUUCAACUGGCUCCUGUUGACAAAGUGUUUUAACAGAAAUGUAAAUGCUGUAAUUUGAUUCUUUUAAUGAACCAUGUAACUUGAAUGGAUGUGAUGCUGGUGUGACCACAGUGCACACGUCUGAUGUUGCUCACAGUGGUCCAAGGGACGCUCAGGGAGUUUGUGUGUUUGCUCAGACUCAGGAAAAAUUACAGGGAACAUUGCUCCUGGGUACUUUGUUAGUUAAACAGAAUUAAUUAGAACAUGUCAAACUCAAAAGGACACAAAAGCAGUCUAGUAUUUGGACAUUUAAUCUAAUAUUUGGUCCUCCUGUAUUGUAACACUGAGAGGUGUUUUUUUUAAAUUUAGUUUUCAGUGUUUCUGAAAUUGAGGCAUGAAAACAUUUUGCUGGAAUUUUGGAAUCUCUGCAGCUUUUUCUCUCCUGUUAGAGACUUUAGUGUUUAAUAUUGUUCUGACUGGCAUUUCUCACUUGUUUUAAUCUUUUUUUUACCCUCCUGUGUGUCUGCGCUGUAAAACUCUUUCAAACUUUCAAACAUUAAAGGCUCCAUAAAAAG